GGACGGGUGAGUAAUACUUAGGUAAUCUGCCUACUUGUUGGGGAUAACUCUCAGAAAUGAGAGCUAAUACCGAAUAAUCUUCUUUAAUCAUAAGAUUUUUGAAGGAAAGGCUUCGGUCGCAAGUAGAGGAGCCUAAGUCUGAUUAGCUUGUUGGUGGGGUAAUGGCUUACCAAGGCGACGAUCAGUAGCUGGUUCGAGAGGAUGAACAGCCACACUGGGACUGAGAUACGGCCCAGACUCC
rnacentral:rRNA from 1 species